CUAAGGCGUUGAAGCAGUGUACGUCAGACUUCCAAGAACAGCUCGCAAUGUCAUAAAUAAAAACUGCCUGUACCAUAACCGACACAGGUGGGUAGGUAGAGUAUACUAAGGGGCGCGAGAUAACUCUCUCUAAGGAACUCGGCAAAAUGACUCCGUAACUUCGGGAGAAGGAGUGCCUUAUUUAUAAGGUUGCAAUAACAAGAUCCAAGCAACUGCUUAUCAAAAACACAGGUCUCCGCUAAGUCGUAAGACGAUGUAUGGGGGCUGACGCCUGCCCAGUGCCAGAAGGUUAAAGAAGUUGGUUAGUGUAUGCGAAGCUGAUGACUGAAGCCCUGGUGAACGGCGGCCGUAACAAUAACGGUCCUAAGGUAGCGAAAUUCCUUGUCGGGUAAGUUCCGACCCGCACGAAAGGCGUAAUGAUUUGGAUACUGUCUCGGAGAGAGGCUCGGUGAAAUAGACUUGUCUGUGAAGAUGCGGACUACCUGCACCAGGACAGAAAGACCCUAUGAAGCUUUACUGUAACUUGAAAUUGGAAUUGGACUUUGCUUGCGCAGUAUAGGUGGGAAGCGUUGAAGAUAUUCUUGCGGGAGUAUUGGAGCUAUCAGUGAGAUACCACUCUUGUAAUGUUAGAUUUCUAACUUUGAACCAUAAUCUGGUCAAAGAACAGUUUCAGGUGGGCAGUUUGACUGGGGCGGUCGCCUCCCAAAUGGUAACGGAGGCGUACAAAGGUUUCCUCUGAACGGAUAGAAAUCGUAUCUAGAGUGUAAAGGCAUAAGGAAGCUUGACUGUGAGACCUACAAGUCGAGCAGGGACGAAAGUCGGUCUUAGUGAUCUGACGGUACUGAGUGGAAAGGCCGUCACUCAACGGAUAAAAGUUACUCUAGGAUAACAGGCUGAUCUCCCCCAAGAGUUCACAUCGACGGGGAGGUUUGGCACCUCGAUGUCGGCUCAUCGCAUCCUGGGGCGGUAGUACGUCCCAAGGGUUGGGCUGUUCGCCCAUGAAAGCGGUACGCGAGCUGGGUUCAGAACGUCGUGAGACAGUUCGGUCCAUAUCCGGUGUAGGCGUUAGAAUAUUGAGAGGAGCCUUCUUUAGUACGAGAGGACCGAGAAGGACACACCGCUGGUGUACCAGUUAUCGUGCCAACGGUAAACGCUGGGUAGCUAUGUGUGGAGUGGAUAACCGCUGAAAGCAUCUAAGUGGGAAGCCCACCUCAAGAUGAGUAUUCUU
rnacentral:rRNA from 1 species